rnacentral:rRNA from 1 species
UACGGAGGGUGCGAGCGUUAAUCGGAAUUACUGGGCGUAAAGGGUGUGUAGGUGGUUGAAUAAGUCAUUUGUAGAAUCCCCGGGCUCAACCUGGGAAUGUCGGAUGAGACUGUUAGACUAGAGUACGGGAGAGGGUAGUGGAAUUUCCGGUGUAGCGGUGAAAUGCGUAGAUAUCGGAAGGAACACCAGUGGCGAAGGCGGCUACCUGGCCUGAUACUGACACUGAGGCACGAAAGCGUGGGGAGCAAACAGGAUUAGAUACCCUGGUAGUCCACGCUGUAAACGAUGUCGACUGGCUGUUGGUUGUAUGAAUGCAAUCAGUGGCGUAGCUAACGCGCUAAGUCGACCGCCUGGGGAGUACGGUCGCAAGAUUA